UACGUAGGGUGCGAGCGUUAAUCGGAAUUACUGGGCGUAAAGCGUGCGCAGGCGGUUUUGCAAGCCGGAUGUGAAAUCCCCGGGCUCAACCUGGGAAUGGCAUUCGGGACUGCAAGGCUGGAGUGCGGCAGAGGAGACUGGAAUUCCUGGUGUAGCAGUGAAAUGCGUAGAUAUCGAGAGGAACACCAGUGGCGAAGGCGAGUCCCUGGACACUUCCUGACACUGAGGCACGAAAGCUAGGGGAGCAAACAGG
rnacentral:rRNA from 1 species